AACGAACGCUGGUGGCAUGCCUAAUACAUGCAAGUCGAACGAGAAAGCACUUCGGUGUGAGUAGAGUGGCGCACGGGUGAGUAACGCGUAGGUAACGUGCCUUGAAGUGGGGGACAACAUCGGGAAACCGGUGCUAAUACCGCAUAAGCAAGCAAUUGGAAAGUGGGCUUCGGCUCACGCUUUAAGAUCGGCCUGCGUGACAUUAGCUUGAUGGUGGGGUAAUGGCCUACCAUGGCUACGAUGUCUAGCUGGUCUGAGAGGAUGAUCAGCCACACUGGAACUGAGACACGGUCCAG
rnacentral:rRNA from 1 species